rnacentral:lncRNA from 1 species
CGCCAUAAUCAUUUUACAAUUAUCACUGGAUCCCUUUCUUUAUAAUCCGUCUUUAAAAAAUUAGUAUGGGGUAUUAUAGGGCAAUAUAUAUGCAAAUUAUAUAAUACCAGUACUAAUAAUAAUGGAUAGAAACAGUUUUAUAAGUACAAAACCCUCUUCUUUUCCAGUACUAGGUAAGCUUCUUAACAUGUACCGAACCAACAUAACUAUAAUUUAAGGUGCAUAACACUUGUAUAUCUAAUUGUCUUUUAACUGAUGUAUACAUAUACACUAUAUUCCUAUCGUCUUUUCUCUUCCAACUAAGAUAUUUCAUAUCUUUUGCUGUUUCUGUUUCUAAUUUCUAGUCUUCUUUUUUUUUUUUUUCAUCUCUUUAUUUUUAUUACAUAUGGUGAUAAUCGAAGGCACUAAGCGGAUCAAACACUGCUUUAGCGUGUUUGGAAACCAUGAUUUCAGAGGCAGCCCAA